ACGAACGCUGGCGGCAGGCCUAACACAUGCAAGUCGCGCGCGCCCUUCGGGGUGAGCGGCGGACGGGUGAGUAACGCGUGGGAACGUGCCCUUUUCUACGGAAUAGCCUCGGGAAACUGAGAGUAAUACCGUAUACGCCCUUUGGGGGAAAGAUUUAUCGGAAAAGGAUCGGCCCGCGUUGGAUUAGGUAGUUGGUGGGGUAAUGGCCUACCAAGCCGACGAUCCAUAGCUGGUUUGAGAGGAUGAUCAGCCACACUGGGACUGAGACACGGCCCAGACUCCUACGGGAGGCAGCAGUGGGGAAUCUUAGACAAUGGGGGCAACCCUGAUCGAGCCAUGCCGCGUGAGUGAUGAAGGCCUUAGGGUUGUAAAGCUCUUUCAGCUGGGAAGAUAAUGACGGUACCAGCAGAAGAAGCCCCGGCUAACUCCGUG
rnacentral:rRNA from 1 species